ACUAUUAUAAUUUAUUAAGAUGCUACAUUACUAUAAUAUUAGUAAAAUAUUAGUAUUCAAUCGACUAAAUUGGACAGUAGGAUUUAACUGUAAUAAUUUAAAAAUAUUGAGCUGGAAACUGCAACAAAUUAAAUCUUGAUGACCAAAGUAUCACGAGCCGGGAGUUUGAGGACCAAAAGUGCAAUUUACCCUUGUAUGUGAGAGAUAAUACUUAUUCAAAGGAGUGAUGCUCACACAAGGCUCAAGCAGCUAUAUUUUUGCAUUGAAAGAGUCCCUAUAUUGACCCACAGUUAAAAAGGAAAUUACUUUAACGCAGGUUGCCAUUUGAGUUGUUGUCACUUGUUGACAUGUACAGAAACAAGGGAAAUACCUGCUGGCCUGGGCACAUUCAUGUCAUACGGCAGUGCGAAUAUACGAAUGACUUAACCUCGAAACUCCCAUACUUUACAAAGGUAUGUGAGAAUACUCAUGCAGGCAAAGAAUGCCAAACUAGAAUACCAAACUUGCAUCAGGGUCUAGUAUGUUCCACAUGGAUUUGCUCCUUUUCCCUUUAAUUUCUCUCUCUCUCUCUCUCUCUCUUUGUCCCUUUUUUCUUUUCUCCUUUUGUUUUACCAUUAUGCUUGCAAUCUCCAGACAUUCCUAACUGUACUUUUGUCUUCUUCUCCCACCUCCAAAGAUCCCAAAAGCCAUCUUGGACCGUCAACUCCCCAUUCCUCUUAACAAAGAAUUGUCUAUUCUUCAGUAUUUGCUACUUGAUCCAGUUUUUGAUUUGCGCCAUUUAAUUUGGAGUGAAAUCUUCCCUCGAGUACCUGCGGCACUCUUGUCAUCCGGGGGUCGCAUUUGAAUCUAUAAAACGAUAUUCGAUCUAAAGCCGCGAAAUCGUAAAGCAAGCGGACUCCUUUGCAAACUGGCCAAGCAUCUAUAUCUAUCUCUCUCUCUCUCUCUCUCUUUAGUUUCCUCAAAGCUAAGCCUUGAGAGUUGGGCUCAAAACCAUCUUCACUCCGACCCAGACCUCGAUCGAACCGUUUGCUUGUUUAUACCUACUCUGCUCUUUCCUUUGUAAAAAGCAAAGUGAAAGAAGAUCAUUCCUCAAGUGAUCUGUGGAAUCUAUGGACCCACUUUGUCCCCCUCAUCCUACCCUUCUCUUUUUCUCAUGACCACCUCCUGGUGGUACGUAGUUAUGUAGGCUAGCCCAGAUGUACUAUUUAUGCUUUCUCUCUUUGCUUGCUGAGUAUCGUUCAUAUAUUUGGCACAAGCUUUCAUGCCUCUUUGUUCUUCUCUUCUUCCUUCGUCGACUCCGAGCGCUAAUUUUCUCAUUCUUGAGUUUCUACAUGGAGGUAUGCCCUUAACUCUUCAAAUCCCUUAUGGUUUCCUUUAUAACAUAGAUUUUGUCCGAACCCGUCUCCUAUACUUUUGUUCUUGGCUACACAUUGAAUCGAUUUUAUCCAAAAAGCUAGCUACUUGAUGGAUUCUUGACUUUUGCAAGUUGUGUAGAAUGAGAUUAUGAAUAGAAGAGCCUACAUUCUUUAUCCUUCUUCCGCUUGUUACUAUCUCAAAGCUUCUAUAUGAAUUGCAAAUCUUAUGAUCCUCUUGAUUCCUGGUCUCCAUUGUUCCACCUCGUAGUGUUGUACUUCGACAAUGUCCUCUCUUUUAGAAACUUGCCUUUGGCAUAGAAUAGUAGACUCAUUUGCCUACAACUAGGAGAUACUCCGAAUGAUUGGUAUUACAAUAUUAUGCACUCAUUUAUUUAUAUUCAUGUUCCCUUAAUGAUGUAUCGACAGAAUAUUUUAGACAAAGCAGGGCCCCUACUCUUGACUAGUAAGGUGAUGAACAAGAUAAAUCACUCAAAUACGUUGCUACCAAUUUGAUCUAAGGUGUGAACUUAUUCAAAGUCAUCAAGCCAUUUGAGAAUUCACAAUAGGGUUCAAUAAAACUACUGGUGUUGGAAUGUCAAUUCAUGCCACCCUGUUACCUAGUUCUUUGGCCCACCAAUUUGUCUGUGUGCACCGAUGAUUCUUUGUUUUUGAAAAAAAAAAAAAAAUGUUUGGUAAAAAAAUGUAAUUUUUAAGCUAAUUAAGUUUCUUGUAAUGCCAAUAAUAACUAUGAGCUGCAGACUAUUGAGCUGAAGGUGGACAUGGUUGCACUGCAUGAGAAGAGAGUGAGGAAAUGCCUAUCUAAAGUAAAAGGUAAAAGUGACCUCCCAAGCACACCCUGGAAUAGUACUAUAACUUGUUGCUUACUCCUACCACUAUUUAAUUCCUUCUUUUGAUCUCUUCCACAUUAAAGAAAUACUUUGUAAUACACUCAAAAAAAAAAAAAAAAAAAAAACUUUGUAACAUUAUUUGUGAGGUUAUUACUAUUCACAGGGAUAGAGAAGGUUGAAGUAGAAGCAAGCAUUCAGAAGGUAACAGUCACAGGAUAUGCAAACAGGAACAAGAUACUCAAGGCCCUGAGAAGAGUGGGAUUGAGAGCAGAGUGUUGGUCUCCACAAAAUGAGAUACUCAGUGCCUAUGCAACUGGAACCCUAAUGUUCAACAACUUCAACUUCUUUUGAGAAACCCAAAAUAGUCGCAUGUCAAAUAAUACCUACCAUUUGUUUGGUUGUUUGUGUCGCCUUCUUCUUUUUAUGGUGUUUUGCGGAGUAACCUUGCAUAUGUUUGUGAUUAUAGUGUCAAAAGUUGAAAGUAAAAUGUUCUUUUCAAGCCAAAACUAUUUUGAUUUGUUGUGUUCAGAUGUGCAGAAGAUGUAAUAUACGGACUGUAUUGUAUUUUCUUCUCCGGAAAAGGUUAGGAUUUUAGAGGGGAAAGAGAGGAUGAUGAAUCAACAACAUUUUAUUAGUUUCUCGGUGUUUGUUGUGUUACGCAAAAUUCGUCAACAUAUAAAACAUGUUGACCAUGAAAACGGGAAGAAGAAAUUUGAGAGAAAAAGAAAAGAGAAGAAAACAAUAAGCACAUUUAAUUAUUAUUCCUCGCCUUAUAUGUGGACUUGUAAAAUAAAAAAAAAUGGCUCGGCUCUGAAGCCUAUAUUCUGGGUCUUUGAAGAGGGACCAAAGAUUUCACUGUAAUAAAAAAUUACAAGUGCUUUGGUCUGCUAGCUAGAGAAGAAAAUAACUAUAAAUAUUGUUGAUAUAUUUUCUUUCUAGUAAAAUUAUUCUAGCUCAACUCCACAUACUAGUCCCCGCCACCGACGCUUUCGUUCGUAGAAUGAUUUUGUAAAAGUGCUCUAGGUACCACAAAGACAUCAAGAAUUUGUGCGUCUCCUAAAAUAUAAAAUAACAUUAUCAUAACAUGCGCCAGAUAUUUACAUAACAGAUUAGCUGAAAACAUAAAAAUACAUUAGGCAUUGUAUAUUUGUAUUGUGCAUAUCUUCAAUCGCAAACUAUUGGACUGGGCUGGGCCUAUUCUUCAGCCCAUCUGGGCAGGCCCAGACAUUUUAGACCGGGCUCGGAGUCAUUGAGAGUAUAAUUCUGAACCAGGCCCGGCCCAGCCCGGCCUGCCCCGGCCCGAUUUUUCGUCGCAUGAACUCACCCCGUGUUCGCUCGUUCCUCGCCCGCUUCGACCUCUCCGUGUUGGAACUUGGAAGAAGCAGCAGAGGAGGAGGAAGGGAGGAAACGAGGGACGCUCUCGUGUGGAGCAUCAGGGUUCGACAUGGGGGAAUUAGAGGCUGAGAAGCACGUCCAAUACAUCCUCUCCGUCGAGAAGGUUAAUUAUUAUUAUUAUUAUUAUUAUUUUUCCCUUCGCAUCUCUUCUUUCUAUCUGAAAUCGUUGGUAGAGGAAGAAAAAAAAAAAAUUGUGAAUUUUCUCUCAGCGCAAGGACGAUUUCGAGUCCUUGCUGAUGGAGCAUCUCCGAAUCAACGGCGCGUAUUGGGGGCUCACCACUCUCGACCUGCUCCGCAAGAUCGAGGCAGUCGAUUCGGACGAGGUGGUGUCGUGGGUGAUGAGUUGCCAGGAUCAGGAUUGCGGUAAAUCCCCAAAUCAGUCCCAUCUCAGAGAAAACAGAAAACGAAAAAAAAAAAAAAAAAAUCAGAUUUUGGCCCCAAAAGAGCAAUUUUUAGGUUGUUUUGUUCUAAUUGGGAAGAGAAUCAUUACAUGGGGCGUGUUUGUGCUUUUUGUGUGUGUGUGUAUUUAAUUUACAGGUGGGUUCGGUGGGAAUGUUGGGCAUGAUGCGCACCUGCACUACACUCUCAGUGCUGUCCAGAUCUUACUUCUCUUCGACCGCCUCGAUAUUUUGGAUAUCGACAAGGUCUCGGAUUGUAUCCUUGUUUGUGGAUUAUAUGUCUUGGAAUCUGAGGAAGCUUUUUUAAUGUCUUUAGUGAAUUUUUGAUGAUCUGCAGCGGUUAAGUUUUGUGUGUAAUUUUGGAUUAAUCAAUAUUUCAAUAUUGCUUGGCAUAUAUGACAUCGAUAAACCCUAAACAGUGACUGAACCGUGAGAAUGCCAUCAGUAUAUUGAUCCAAGUUUUUAUUAGGCUUUUGACUUUCGUCUGGAGUUACUUUCGGCACUGACUAUGUUAAAAAAUAGGGUUCUGUGUUGAUGUUAUAUAGUUUACAUGUUGGAAUCUAAACUUGUUGAUCAAUGUAAGUGAUGGAGAAAAGCUAAUCACUAACGAUUCUUUCUCGAAUUCAUGCACAUCCACCAACAUAGGUAUUUCUGAUUUGAAAUUUAUGUAUGUAAACACAAUUUUUUUCACUUUGGUUGGAUGAUUCUUUAACUGUGGUUGGAUCUAAGCUCACCGAAUAUGUUACUGCCACAGCUCGUCAUUUUUACAUUCUUGUCUGUUAUUGUUGAACUGGCUUUCAUCGAGUUGUAACAGAAGUUUCAUCUAUUUUCCGCUUUUUUCAAUGUUGGUCAAUAAAGGAUUCAACUUUUUCUCUCUGUUGUUUCACUUAAAACACUUCAGACGUUGCCGGGCUACAGAAUGAAGAUGGGUCUUUUUCUGGCGAUAUCUGGGGUGAAGUUGACACUAGGUAAAGUGCUUUUGCUAUCAGAUUUCCCUUUUUGUUUUUCCACAGUUUCACAGCUUAUUCAGAAGCACUUAAUGCAGCACUCCUUGUCCAUAGGUUCUCAUACUGUGCAAUAUGCUGUCUCUCGUUACUGCAUCGUCUGGAUAAAAUUAAUGCGGAAAAGGCUGUAGAUUAUAUUGUGAGCUGCAAAAACUUGGAUGGUGGAUUUGGAUCUAUACCUGGAGGGGAGUCUCAUUCUGGGCAGAGUAUGUUCAACCUUGUUGUCACCUAAUUAAGAUAACACGUAGCAUGUUUCCGUUCUUUAGUUAACUAUGCACACUAGUACUAGCAGUUCAUGGUAUAUGUAAUCAGUGGGAUAGUUCGAUUAUUCGGAGAACCAACAGAAAUGACAAUAAUUAUUCAAAUGUUAGUUAAAUAUGUAGUCCCCUAUAUUUCAGACCCAAUUUCAGUUAUGGCUCCCCUUUUUGCAAAUUUGUUAAUGAAUUUUGACCUUGGUAACAGUUAAGACCUUGUCUCUACAGUCUGAAAAAAAAUACUAGCCAUAUAAGCAUUUAUCGCUAGAGUUUGAAUAAUAUGGCUGUUCUCUUGAGGUCUCAAUUUAUUGAUGAUCUCGACAUGGUGUUUUCCAUAGACGGCACGCUAGCGGAUCACUAUGCUCAAUGAACCUAUGGAUUGAAUUGUUAAAGAAUAAUACUGUGAGCAGGUGACUGAAAUCUGGAUCAAACUUGAGGAACUAGACUAGAACCGUUGUUAGAAAUUAUCAUUUUCUUCAUGUAUUCUUUUUCUGUUCUCCAGUACUUGUCAAUUUUCUAAAUAAAUUGGUUCAACAUUUAAAUGGCAGUCUUCUGCUGUGUUGGUGCUCUUGCAAUCACUGGUUCUCUGCAUCAUGUUGAUAGAGACCUCCUCGGCUGGUGGCUGUGCGAGCGCCAGUGUAAAGAUGGUGGACUAAAUGGCCGGCCCGAGAAGCUUGCUGAUGUGGGACCCUCUUUGAACCCUUAAAUUCGUAGGUAGAUCUUGAAGUUGCUUUCUCCAUUCUAUCAACUAAGACAAUUUCUAUCUUCUUAGGUUUGUUAUUCUUGGUGGGUCCUAUCAAGCUUGACAAUGAUCGACAGAGUGCACUGGAUCGAUAGGGAGAAGCUGGCUGCAUUCAUUUUAAACUGCCAGGUUGUUAAUUCCUCUUAUUACACCCAUUUUAGCAGCUGCUAAUUACAUCUGAACUGAACCUUCCGGAUUCUUUUUCCAACAUUUUUCGCGUAAUACAGGAUAGGGAAAAUGGAGGUAUUUCAGAUAGGCCAGAUAAUGCAGUAGAUGUUUUCCAUACCUACUUUGGGGUGGCAGGUACUAAAUUUCCUCAGUCUUUUUAAACUUUAUGUACUCAAGACUUGCACCAUGUCACGACGAUUUUUCCGUUCUUUUAGAUUAUUUUUGGUUCAUGCCUAAGGCCUAAUAAUAUGAAUUGUUAAAAACAGGGCUUUCUCUGCUGGAAUAUCCUGGACUGAAGCCUAUUGAUCCUGCCUAUGCCUUACCAGUUGAUGUUGUCAAUCGAAUCUUCUUUGGAAAAUAAUAAGUUCCCUUGUUGAUGAGCUCUCCUAUUAUUGUUCCCCCCUUAAAUGAGAAUAUGGGGAGCCUGUUGAUGCUAGAGAUAGUUGCAGUUCCUGUUUCCAGCCAACCAUUGACAUCCCUGCGACCCUGGAAUGUAUAGCCCAGGGUUAUAAUCAGGAUGGCAAGCACAAGAAAAUCCUCGGAAGAUCAAAAUAGGAUGUUAAACUAGCAAAUCAAUUGCUUUCGCCCUGUUAAUGAGAUUAUCAAACAUUUUCAGCCGAUGGUGGUUCCAAUCUUCUUUGGUUUGUUUCUAUUGUUUCCAAAUCAUGUCCUCCUGUAAGAGCCUUGCAGAGUACAGGUUUGCAUGGUAAGCGAAGAAAGAGUUGUUGAAUUUUAUAGAGAUUUUAUGUUCUGUCAGUGUACAUCCGCUCUAAUACUUUAGGCGAUCAAAAAAAUAAAAUCACUCAUUAUUCUUUUUCGUAAUGUUGGCGGAAACAGUCGCUUCUCUGCAGUUCCACCGCCAUUUCUGGGCAUCCGAGUCUCCAAUACUUUCCAAAAAUAGAGUAUUAGAGGAGCAAAAAUAAUAGUAAUAAAAUCACCAUAUGUGCUCUUCCUAGGAAUUUCAGAUAGAUACAAGUAACUACACGGAACAGAGACAUAAUGUUACUUGGAACGUUUCAAUACAACUGCUUCAGACGAGCAAUAACCAUCAUCCUACCUUAAUGAGCAAAGAAGAAAUACACCAUGGCUAGAAACAUACGAGCUAAAGUUUUCAUCUCCUUAAACACUAGAGCGAAAAAAGCGGCUACAAAGAUAAGGGAAGUCGCUGACUAUUCCCCAGCUAAAACAACAGCUAAAGUUUACAGAGAAAGAAGGAAAGGCGGCUUCUCGGUGCGCCGGAGAUGCCGACGAUCUAUAUGAGGUGAGGAGGGAUAAGUUAAUUAUUUCCAUGGCAUGCUGGAUAAUCCGUGCUGGCUGCUAUUAUUCAUUGUGCCGGUGCUUUGAUUGAGCGGGCUUCCCGGGCCACCGCCUGAGGAUUCACUCAGUGUGCCUCUCGAGGGCGGGCUACCGCCCCCUGCGGGCCCAACACCGCCGUAGGGGCUGGCAAACUUCCCAGGGGCAGACGCCGGUUCUGAAGGAUUACUCUGCUGCUUUGGCUCUUUCUUUCCAUCAGCUAUGAAGCUCCCUACUACGACCUGAAAAAUUAUAGCCAUCCAAGUCGAACCAUGAAGAUUAUAAAUUGUGCCAAGUUCUACGAAGACAAAUUGCAGGUUAUAAUGUGUAUUCCAUAAAAUGCUGCGUUUCAUCAGGGUAAGUAGUAACUAACAAGAAGCAACACCGUUUCCCAGAUCUUUCACAAAAGUAUAAAUAAAUACAAAGACAUGAAAAAAAGGAUUUCUGAGGGAAAAAGGCAGCUAAAACUUCCCUGAUAGAAAUAUAAUCAAAAUUAACAUCUAACAAAUUUCAACUAGAAAAUAAGGAACUAGAUAAAAAAACGAAUCUAGGGUUGAAUAAAAGAACAUGCAAAGAACAUGCAAAAGUCCAGUAUGAAUUAGCUCCAAAAUACAGAAGAAACAGACCUGGACAGGUGAUGCCGCAGUCAAAAGACCUGCAACUCCGCCCCCUAGGACACGGCCAUCCGGUCCCGCCAGUGAAACACUCAGCCCGCCUGUUCGACUACGCUGACCACCACUUUCCGAUAGAAGAAAUGAGCCCGACAACGACAAGAUCUCAAACCGGCCCUGCACAUGAAAUAUUGAAGAAACUAUAACAAUAGUAAACGCGGACAAUAAGUCUAUAACACCGCAUCCCCCCUUAAGCCCGAAAUCCUAAACAGUAGUAAACGCAGACAAAAGAAAAAAAACACAUUUCCAUCAUAAAAUACUAUGAAAUUCAACAAAAUAGGCAAUAGCUUUCAAGCAAAGGAAAAUUCUUGCCAUCAACUAAAAAGCAAAAGUUCAAAACAGAAGCUAUAAUUUUACAAUAAUGGAGAAUUUAAUAAAUGAAUGUGAUUUCAUCAGCAUCAGUUCAAAGCACAAACCUCAUAGGUUACAGUCCCACCAGAAGUUGCAGCUUGCCGAAGUGUAACAUUUGAUAUAGCACCAUUUGCUGAGAGAAUACAAACUGCACGUGGUCCAUGCUGAGAAAAUGACAUAAUCUUUGCCGAUACAUCCUGAAAAGAUGAGUCCGAGCAUUUUAUUAGCACAUUAUUUUUUUUGCAAGUACAUGAUCUAGAAGAGAGAAGUUGAAACUGAUAUACAAGAUAUAGAUUUAUUUCCAAAAUAAAUAGUAUCAACUGGGGAUAGCAUUAGCUUGGCUUAUAGAAGCAAAAACGUAGCCCCAAUUUAAAAUUGAGGAAAAGGUAGCUGCACUCCAGGGCAAGUUAAAAGUCACUAGGACACUAGCAUGUUUUUCUUUCCCCUUCUACUUAAACAAACAUGAAGGAAGAAAAAAAAAUAGAAGCUACAUACAAAGCUAGACACAUACAGAAGCCUUCAGUACUUGCGUGUCGCAGCAGAUUUCCCAACAUAAAAAAUAGUCUAAAACACUACACAUAUGAUUGGCAUACCUCUCCAGCCUUCACCGUAAUAACAUGGGGUGUAAAUCCAAUCCCAGCUGAUCCUGCAAAAUGUUUUACAGCAAAAGAUGAAAACUAUAAAGCCAUAAAUAGAUUCAUUAUUUCUUCAGGAAACUCUGCCACUAAUUAUGUAAUUCGAGGAAAUAGCAUGCAAUUAUCAAAACUCAGGAAAUUACAAGGCAGGGAGAGCAAAUUAAAGCCAAACUUUACGACAUCUCAAAAUCAGGACUUACCUAUAAGGUUGUAAACUGGGCAGAGAGAGAGAGAGAGAGAGAGAGAGAGAGAGAGAGAGGACCUACCAAUAUAGUUAUUUUACUAUAUUCUAUAACUAAGAAAUGAAGGCAACUAUUACCUGCGAGUUGGUAAAUCCAACACUACUAGUUUACUUUCAGAAGGAAGAAAGAAACCACACAAAAAGCCUAAGCUUUUUGUAUUGAUCCGAUAAAACAGAUCAAUAUAUUAUCUGUUCGAACAUGCAAUUAACACGUCAUUGCCAAUUAAGAAGAAAGCUUUAAACUUGCACUGCAGAUUCAUGCGUUCAACAACAAAACAGUAACAAACACUUUCGGGAAAACUUCGACAAACAAUUCAUUGGAUCUGUCAUUUAAUUCAGGUAACCAAUCCUGGAAAACGCCCAGCAUUCGCUAGUUAUAACAAGAAACCGAGGGCAUAAGGGUAAUUUCCUAGCAGUUCAUCCCUCCAUGCUGGAUCUACCAAGAAUACUCGAGGUUCCAGCUCAUCCAAACAAACAACUUGCUUUUAACCCCGCACUCUGACAACAGUAAACUCUCUCUUACAUUAUCAAAACCUCCUCUUUUUUCUUUUUUCUUUUUUCUCUUUUCAAAUAAUCAACCUACUGUAGUAAAAACACAUAAACAACUGCAUCAAAAAGAACCAUCCAACUCAUUAGCCAUGGCAUUUAAAAGGCAGCAAUCAUAAAUAGAUGAUGAUGAUGAGCAGGAGGAGGAGGUGGAGGGGGAUUACCCAAAGCUGCCAUCUGGCGCUUCCUGCCCGAACCUGGAGGCCUCCCCCUCACCUUCUUCAUCAAGCCCUGCGAGGCCGCCGCCGCCCCACCGGAGGACGGAGAGAACAUGCCACCGCCGCCCGGCGGAUGAGCCGCCGCGGCGGAUGUUACGGGAGCGGGGGCGAGAGCGAGAGCCAUGGCGCCGUCGGGCCCGUACUUCCUCGGCCUCCCGCGCUUCCGCUUCACCGGCUCUCCUCCUCCUCCUCCUCCUCCUCCCAUGUUGAUAGUGAGCCCGUGCGACGAGAGCGUCGGCGAGGUCCCGUCGCCGGCGGGGCCGUACAGCGGAGGCGACGGGGAGGAGGCCGUUGUGAUCGGCUUGUAGAUGGCCGUCCCAUCGGGGGCGUAGGCGAGCCGCAUGCUCUGCAUCGACGGCUGCGAUUGGAUGGGGCUUUUCUGCAUGGUCAUGUUGAAGGGUUCCCGACCCGACAUCAUCCCUUGCUCCGAUCUCACCUCCAUGAGCUCACACACUAGACUCUGCACACCAUUACCCAGCAAUUCCCACUCCAGGAAACCCUAACACCCGCGAUUUCCAAUCGCUUCCUUUUUUACGGAAAUUACAACAAAGAACAACGCAAGCGGCUACAGCAUCACAACCAGCAAUUUUACAGUACCCACAGUAACGAGGAGCAUGAAGGGGGACCAAAAAAAAAAAAAAAAAAAAAAANGCUAUGAUUAAAUUUGUUAAAGUAAUUAACUUAAGUUUUUAACUAAAAGAAUCAUUAAAUUACUUAAAUCAAAAAAACUAAAAUAUUGAAUAAUAAAAUCAAAAUUUUAAGAUGUUAGAUAAUAGAAUCAAAAUAGUUUAUACUUUAGAUAAGUUAUUUAUGUUUUUACCAAUAAUAUAUUGUAGUUGUAAUUUAGGGAAGGACAAAAAAAAAAAAAAAGAAAAAAAAGAAAAAAAAAUCCUAACCCGAGAACAAAAUUAACAAGAAAAAAUAUAAACCCUAAUUAAGACUAAGCACAAAAAUCAAAGAAAUUAGAGAUCUUCGUCUCUCAAAAAUUCCUUUUUUUUUCAAUUUUUACCAUAAAUUUUCCGAAAAUCACAGAAAUUUAGGAGAAAAGGCUGAGAAAAACGGAAAAAUCGAGAAAAAAGAAGGAAAAAAACAGAAGCUUUUGGUAAGAAAAAAAAGAAACCCUACCACCAUUUGUCGGAGAGCUACCCAAAGAGUCUCCAAAUACCACACACAAGCGGAGAAAUUAGGGCAAAUCCCAACCCCCAAAAUAUAUUUCUCCUCAACUUUUUAUAGAUUUUCUUUACACUCCUUUCUUUUUUCUAUUUUUUAUAUUAUAAGGAGGGGCUUUUAUUAAAAAUUGGGCGAGUAAAAAGGCAGCUAAAGCAGACCAAAUUUGCUUUCACACCCAUCAUAAUAAUAGAAAAUGAAAAGAGCCAUCAUAUAUUGUAAUGAAUUACAUUAAGACCCUCAGAUACUGUUUAAUUACCAGUUGCCAUCGUCCGGUCUGAGUAAUUUUCCUCUGUCUGAGGGACCAAAUUGUCUAUGUGAGGGACCAGAGUCACUAGCUCACUUCUUGGAUGUUACUUCUUUACGGAAAAGGAAAAGCAAAACAAAAAAAAAAAAUCACGAUGCUUGUAACAAAUGCAACCAUAAAGCUCUACUUAAAAUCAUGUGUAUCUCGAUCAAGCAGGUUUUCCUUCAAAAUUUCUAAUCAUUAUCUCUACAGCAGAAAUAUAUAUAUAUAUAUAUAUAAUCACAAUUUUUUAUUUUUAAAUCUAUAAUUAUGUUUCGAUUUUUAGUUGUUUGAAUGGUGACUAUUAUUUUAACAAUAUAGUUCGAAUUCUGCCCUUUUUUUUUGUACUCUUGAGAUUCAUACUGUCUCACUCUUGUAAUUUAAUUUAUCACUCUAAUGAAUAAAGCGGAUAGUAUGUUAUUUUUUAAAAAAAAUAAAAAAUCUACCCAACUUUAAGUUAUGAAACCGGAUUUCUCAAAUAAAUGAAACAUAUAUCAGAUUUAAAUCAGGAAAUUAAUGUUAUCACAUCCGACCCGGUUGACUUCUCGUAUUGGAUUCCGGCCGGGAUCCAUGAAAAAGAUGAGAAAGAAAGAUUAAGCAAGUCAUAUGAGAUCCCCACGAAAAUUAAUGUAAUAAUUUAAGUUUGUAGAGCGAGUGUGGUGGCAUCAUCCUUAUCUAUGCCACCUGUUAAGCUUUAAAACUUUAAUACAAAGCUAAAGGCUUUGACUGUUGUUUCAAACUUAUCAGGCCAAGUUGGUAGUCCAACCUAACAUCUCCUCGCUUUGUUGAAUAAUAAUACGCGUAUGAACGUAGCAAAUGUUCUCCCCAAAUUAAGCAAUUUGGUAAUCAUAAAUGCACAUUGAUGCGCAAGAGGAUUAAUAAUAACAAAUAAGUUUUGCUCUCUGUGAAUGAUUCCACGGCGACUAGUUUGUCGACAAAAAUGCAUUCCAUGUAAUUUAUUUCGCGAUGGAUACCUGACAAUAUUGAAUACUACAUGCCGUAAUAUAUUAUUGCGAGAGUCUGACUUUUUAGGCGUGACAUUAUUAUACUAGCGACCACCAAGCUUAUCCUAUAAAUAAGUAUGUUUAUACUAGGAGCACCAAGCUUAUCCCAUAAAUAAGUAUAUUUAUACCGGUAUAAAGUAUACUAUUUAAUAGUUCUUUUAUUUUAUUUUAUGUAUGUAUACAUAUAUAUAUAUAUAUUGGCACGAAUAGUGCCACACAUGCAUUCCCGAGAGAGAGAGAAAAACCCCACUCGCUCGAUCUAAUAAUAAUAAUAAUAAUAAUAAUAAUAAUUCAGAUGAUGGAGUGGAAUCUUUUGGGCAGCUGAGAAAAGGACGAGAGUUAAACAAGUCUUUAGCAAAAGCCUCGGAAAUCAAUAGAUUGGAGGAAAAAGAAGUAAAGGGCGGGGGAAAAUCAAAGGCUUAUCCUGGGAAAAAGUCACGCGUAGGUGCUCGCCCCCUCUCGGUUAGGUACCAAACCACGAACAAAAAGAUACCAUACCCGGAUAUAUACCCCUCACCUAUCCAAAUUAAUUUUUUUUUAAAAAAAAAUCAAAUUAAAAUAAAUAAAUAAAUAAAUUAUAGAGAAAAUACUUUCCUAUAUUUUUCAGCCUACAGCUCAGUUACCCUUUUUUAAUUCAGUUUAAUAUUUCUUUCUUACUUUUACAAAGUUUUAAAAUUUGAGAUAUUUUAUAGUUUUUUUAGAUUGAAAGUUUUACCGAAAUAAAUUGAUGAAUGAGACUAGCUAAGAUCCGAAUUAAUAUUGUAUUUAAUUUUUACAUCAAAGUAACAUUUUAAAAUAAAUAAAAUAAGUUGGCAGAAAUUAAAAUUAAUAUAAUUAUAUAUAUAUACAGGCAUUUUAAAAUUUUUAUUAUUAUAUAUAUAUAUAUUAGUUAGGUAAUAUACCAACAAUUUUUUAAUACAAAUAUCAUCAUUAUCAUAUAUAUAUAUAUAUUGCAUGGCCACAAAGCAUUUGCUUUUGAUAAUUUAACCGGGAAAUAAACCGUUCUAAUUAAAUUAGACAAACAUAUUCCCGGUUAGAUAUGAUGGACGCGAUGUUUGGCCAGUUGGGGGGUUGGGGUGUUUGCUUACGUGUAAAUCAUUUUCAAUUUUCGCUCGUUAAAGAAAUGGGUGGGAAAAGCAUGGGAUUUGACGUCCAAUGGGAGAAGACAAGUGCCCAUGUGACACCCCACCCCCCUCUCGUCUUUCAUCAUCUCAUGAGCUACUCCGGUUGGUCCUACAAACGACAUUAUCAUCCUUUGCUUUUUCUCUUUCUUUUUUUCUUUCUUUCUUUCUUUUGAGUUCCCCUGUUCAAAAUAAAAGGUCUGUUUGGCUUUAGCCUUUAGCUGUAGGUGCUUUGCAUCAGUUCCUCAAGCGCAAAAAAAAUAAAAUAAAAUAAAUAAAUAAAUACUACCAGUUUUAUUAAUAAAAUAAUUUCAGAAAAAAUAAAAUAAAUUUUUCAACACCCGCCAUCCCUUUAAUACAAAUGAUAAAAAAUUAAUAAUUGACAUUUGAGAUCUCAAUUUUGAAAUAUAGUUACUUCACACUUUUAUCUAAGUUUAUUUUUAAAAUAAUAAAUAAAGCGGAUAAUUUUUUUUUUCUAAAAAAAUUCAACAAAAGCAAAAACAGGAAUUUUUUUUAAAAAAAAAAAAAUUUGAGUGAGGGGGGGCGGCGGGGGGAGGGGCGGGAAAUUUAACCAGCCAAAGUUUCGCUUUCGAGGCCAAGAAGACUACUCUGAUAACUUCUUUUGGGUUCCCGAAUCUUUUGUUAUCAUGAAAACCCUUCUUGAGCCCUUACAAGGCUUGACUUCUUGAGAAUUUUCUUUUCCUUCCCAGAAAGUCCCCCAGUCGAAGAGAAGAGAAGAAAGAACACGCCCGCCCUAACUGCGCAUUAAUACCCGACAAAAUAUAUCUACGUGACCAAACAGUUACCGUCAAUCUUUUACAUUUAUAUAUUCACGUGAUUGAGAGACUUCAACAAUCAGCAAGCUAGUUUUGUGAGGUUUUUAUAUAAAUUAUUACACUUCCCGGAGGAGUCAACGAGAAGGCUUUCAACGGAAUGAAAACAACUUUUUUUAAAAAAAAAUAAGUACAAUACUUUGUAAUCUUCCUUGCAGCAGCAAAUUAAAAGAUCCGGAAACAGAACUUGAGAAAAGCUGAAGACGUUCAAUGUAGCGGGGAGAGAGAGACGCAAACAAAUAUAUAUAUAUAUAUGCACCUCUCUCUUGGCCAAUGUAUGUACGGAAUGCACGGCAUCCCUUCCUUUCUGGUGCGCUGCAGCCUGCAGGGUGAUGAGUGAGAAAGCCGACAAGCUUGACAAAUCCCCAGUGCCAUUUACGGGCAAAACCCGAAGUUCAGGAAGUUUGUAUAGGUCGGCACAGUGUAAUUUUUUGCCGCUUGAAUCAACUCGUAUGGGCUAGCUCAAGAACAAUCGUAUGGGAAUUGACUCGCCUGCGGAUUAGCUCAGAUGGAGGGCGAUAUAAUGCUUUAUAGAACAGCUUUAAAUUAUCAAAUGUAACUGUUUCCAUAAAUUCUCUACUAGCUUUCUACGUACACAAGCCUCAAACUAGCUUAGACCUUGCGCUUAAGAAGCUUCGUCAAAACGUUGCAGGAGCUUAGGUCAAUAAAGUAAUCACUCUCAGGUCCUUAGAAUGCUGCAGCAAAGUGACAUAAAUCGGAAUAGAAAAAUUAAUGGCAACUUCGGGGGACGUAAAAGAAGGCAAACUUCCACCACAGUUUAAAGACCAGAUGGGCAUGAAUGCAGAAUAAUUUAAAGCACAAGUCCAAAAUGAGAUAACUUUGACAGGAGCACCAUCCACCUGUUCAAACUUGGCUAGUGUUUCAGUCUCAACUUAAGUAUUAGGCCCCAACCCAAGCAGAUUCCCGACGUCUGAUCUCGAGCUCCAUGUUUUUUACUCAACAGAAGAACUAAAUGAUCACGCGUACGCUCCAUGAAACAAGCUAUACCAUUACUCACGGCCAUUAGCAAAGAAAUCAAGUAGAGUACAUCGAUCAUUUAUAUUAUGCUGUUUUAGUGUAAAUGCACGACAUACAGGAGACAUUGAUUAUGUGAAGUCCUGCUCUAAUCAAACCAUAAGAGAACACGAGGAUGCCAAAUAAAAACUUUGAAGUUCAACAUAGUUGACAAAACAGUUACAAAAGAGUUAACACAACUCCCACAAUAUAUUGUCUACUUCUGUACAAAAACAAUUUUCCAAUUACACAAGCAAUUUCCCAAGAAGGAAUUUGCUCUUAGACCACUUCAAUGCAAUCCUAGAUGAACUGUGAUGCAAUUCCGUAAUAUACAAUACAUAAUUUUACUGAGAAAUCACAAUAAGUUUCUUAAAGAAACCUCAAGAUGAUUCAAUUCCAUCCCAGAUCAGAUAGCUGAUCAACAGCCCCGGUCAGAAAUUCAACAGAAAAGGAAGUCACUAUCACCAUGGAAUGCUUAAGAGCUGUGAUGUUGUUCAGCUAUUAAUUAGCUUCGAAUUAGAAAAAAUGAAACUAACCAAGAGCAUCGAUAUUGAUAUAAUGAUGUAGGUAAGCAGAAUGAAUGUGUUAAGAAGCAACUAUGGAAGGAAGAGGAUUCUAGGUCAAAUGUCUCAACUUGCAAUAGACGGAAAGUAGAUUAGUUCCAACUUAAAUCUUUCACCAAGGGCCUAUUUGUUUCAAUGUAAGUAGACUUCAAGUUAAAGUAGACCUUAGUUUGAACUAGAGUUCAGGUGACAAUUACUUCACCUCCGCUGUUUGUUUCUAAUUGUGGAAGUGAAAUUCUAUUGUUUGUUUGGCAGAAAAUGAAUAACGUAAAAAGUGCAGUUCUCCACUUCCUCUCUUUGUUUCAUCGAAAAUUAUUCAUUCCCCUCACCCUGGUAAAGUUACCUCCUACAUGAUACUUUUGUCUCUUUUCUAACUUAAUAAAUAAUAAAUUACAAUAAAUAAAAAAAUAAUGUAAUUAUAUUUCUAUACAAUUAUAAAAUGAAAUUUAAAAUAAUUAUAUUAAUUUUUUGUAUAUAAAUUAUAAUAAUGCAACAAAUAAAAUUCUAAAGUUAAAGAAUUAUUAACAUUUAACAUAUUAAUUUUCAUCGCUUUUUAAGUGUGCAAAUUAAAUAAAAGAUAUAUCGAAACUUAACUAACCAAACUUCGUCAUAUUUAAUACAUGCAAUCUAAAUAAAAAAUUAAUUACUUCUAUAAUUAAAUAUAUUUGGAUGAAAUACAACUAGCAUUACUCAAAAUAUCACCCCAUGAGAGAGUAACCCUAAACAUCACCAUAAUUAAGUUCCCAUUAUCCUUUCCUUCAGUCCACCGGAAUUGACUUCGUCUCAUGGAAGAGCGAAAUCAAUUUUGGUGUUUUGGAUGAACUGGACUUUCGACCGUGGUAAUAUUACGAUGAACCAAACAACAGAAGCAAUCAGUUUUCGUCGAAAAUCACUCCCCCCUCCCCAAACAAACAGGCCCCAAAAGUCUAAAGACUCUUGUUGAAUGCAGUAACCUUCCAAGUCAGCAAGGGACAGCAUUCGAUCAAUGAAAACAAACAAAGGAAAAUGAGCAGAUGAUUGGAUGAAUUAGUCAAGGUAAAUCAAGACUUAUGCAGAAAUCCUGAUAUUCCACAAUGUGGCCGGCAUAGUUUCGACUGAAUAUCACCUUUAAAAUGUACCUACAAGAUCAAAUGGAUUAAUUAAUUCAGGAACAGGAUAUUGAAGAUUAUAUGCUCAUUGACCAUGUUACAGGAAAAUAUUUUUGUUUAAAUAGUUAAAAGCCAACGAAAAAGACCAUGUUAAAAUAUAAGCCAAAACCAAGUAGCACAAAGUGCUUUGAUCUGCUUGAUAGGUCUCCACUCUAAAAAUAAGGAUUAAAAAUUUACCAUCACUCAUGUGAAUAUAUACAUCUACAUGUCUUAGUUAACAAGAAAUUGUGCCGAUUUACAUAGGUAUUUGCAAAGCUGCUCUAGCUGCAAAUUCCAACAGCCACACAGAGUCCAAACUGGGAACACUCCCAAUAAUUAGCUUUGGUACAAAGAAAUGGGUUCACACAAGUACUUGAUUCAUCAUGGACUGACAUCAGUUUUCUUGUUUGUAAGAGAAUUAGCUAAAAUUGAUUGCAGGAAUGCAGGAUAUUGGAUCAGACUGUAAACCACAAGUAAAUUUCUAAUUGUGACCACCUUGUUUUUCCAUGAGAUAAUACACUACCAAAUGCAGAGAUAUUACCACUGCACCAUUAUGGAGCAGCUACCCCCAGGAUAAAAGUAUUUUUUAAUUUCCUUUUAAUACCAAAAUGGCUUUUGCCUAUUGUAUAAAAAGUCGUGUACUAAACAACAUCAUAUCGGAAACUAUGCUACAUAUAACAUUAACAAUAUAAGACUUCACGCAUCAGCUAAUAGGGCUACAGUCCAUAUCUAGCCUGACAGAGCGUGCAGAAGUUGCUUGAAUGAAGAAAAGAGAACUUAUUGGGCGAGAAAACAAAAAAUUGUGUUUUUCUUGUAUACAAUAGCAGUCUGUCACCACGUGCAAGCACAUAAUAUUCUGAAACAUCAGCUUAGGUGGUCGCGUACCAAUCAACUGUUUCUGCUCACAAGAGAAUAUGCAAUCUAUAUCAGAUUAAAGAAGAUUAAAAAAUUUGAGAGCUUGAACAUUAAGCAUAUGACAAUCUUUCCAUAGAACGCUAGUAGAAAUUUACCUGCUUUCAAAUUUUACCAUCAGAAAAUGUGAUUGAGAUGUUACAUGGUGGCUUGAAUGCCCCGAUAAUAUAAUUUUGAAAUGGAUAAUGUACCGUCUUAUGUAACGACAACAGAUAAUACAGAAAAUCCAUUAUAAGCUAUGUAGACAUGAAGACAAAAGUACCCAAAAAAUUAUCAACAUGUUUAUAUCACGCAGUAGAUAAGAGAGGGAGAUAUUUACAUGCAAGGGCAAACAGGCUAUAAUUUAUAGAAUAUUAAUUGAAUAAUGAUGGAAAAUGAGCUAGAUAGAGAACUAUUCGCAAGCACAAAAUCUGAUUAGUUCUUCUUUGUUCAAGAAUUAGUGCUGCGCUUGCAAUCUCCAGAAGUAAAGGAAGCAAGAAUUUGAACAGAGAGAAAAAUAUCAUUCUGCUCUAUUGGAGUACUACUACUGCACUUUGCAAUGACUUAAAAGAAAAGCUAAAACUUGCUUUCGCGUAGUACAAACAGCGGCUUGAUUAGACUCAAACAGUGUAUAGCAGACAGAUUUAUUGAAGAUGAACACAGCUCGCGCUGGUUUACGUAUGAUAGCCACCGCAAGAGAGCAACGCCAUAUGUCGCUGCCUAUUCUUUUACUGAACGGCUAUUAAAUUGACCAAUACAAUAUGUAGUUAUGGCACUAAAUCAAAUAAUGUAAAUCUAACACAUCAUCAAUGUGAAUUUCAUUAGAAUAAAAAAAAAAAAAGAUCAUCUGGAGAAAUAAGCAGAACAAACAUAAUGCCAAGCACUCAAUCAAGAGGAACGCAUAGAAUCAUCAGACGAAUAACAAUGCAAACUGAUUCACCAAGUUUAACACCAACUCCACCUAAUCUGUGAGAAGUUAACAACAUGGAAGAGAUUCCACCGAUUGCACCUAAUCUUGCGAGAAAUUAACAGCAGCAAGAAGAGAGAGAGAGAGAGAGAGAGAGAGAGAGAGAGAGAGAGAGUCACCAUGCUUUUCGUGCUACAUUGAAGAAUCAAAGCCCGCGAGACUGCAUCAAGAAACAAUGCCCAAGCAAUCAACAAUCUCUCGCUUCAAGAAAUGUAGAUUAGAUCCAAGAAUAGCUUCGAUCAUUGGCGGGAGACGUUGAAAUCCCCAACCCCCAAUGCCCAAAUUGAAAUAAAAGAAUUGUGGGGAGUGGGAGUCGACGAAGAAGGGAAUACGAAAGCAGCAGGCGAUGGAGAUUGGAGGGGAGGUGUAAAACAGGUUCGUUUCUUUCUUGUUCUCACCUGGUCGCUUGGGCUCUCCUCCAUUGUGCGAUCGACCAGCUUUUGAACGGACGGGAUCUACGCCUUGAAAACGUGGACGGCUAAGAAUGGAGCGUAAAACCUCUUUACAUUUGUCCCCUGGAAAUUUAGUUACAUACUUACAUCAGCGCUGCAGCCCGGAGGAAUUAAAAUGUUAUUGUUAAGGGCCUGUUUGGUUACCUAUAAAAUGGCCCGGGAAAAAAAACUUCAAUGAAAAAUUACAAUUUUGAGCGUUUGUUUGUCCGUAAAAAUUUUAUUUUGAAAAUUUUUUUUUACGACUACGAGGAAAACGAAGGUUUAACAAUUUUUCGCGGCUUAAAAAAGGCGGGAUUCACAGGUGCGCAGUCCACCAGGCGCACUCUACCUCGUGGACCACGAGAAAGAGGUCUACUGGGUGGGGUGACCUCCCUCCCCCAUCUUUAUUUAUAUAUAUAUAUAUAUAUAUAUAUAUAUAGUAUGGCUAGAAUACUUUUACAAGUAUCACCCAAGUGAUACUUGUGUGUUUUUAGCCAUUGGAUCUACUUUUUGAUUACUAAUAGGCCUUGGAUCAAACACUAUUCCACCUACCACCACCUACCACUAUCAUCUCAACCUCACAUCUCUCCAUCCAAGGGCUAAAAACACACAAGUAUCACCCCCAUGAUACUUUUACAAGUAUUCUAGCCCUACUCAUAUAUAUAUAUAUAUAUAUAAUAUAUAUAUAUAUAUAUAUAUAUAUAGAGUGGGUUACUAUGCUAUCGAAAGUACGGAGUCUUCCGUGCUUCCAGCUCGUUUUCGAUGUUGCGACUUUUCGAAUCGUCGAUCGCCCGUUAAACUUGAUCUAGAAUAUUUGAAGUAGACUAGAAAAAUAAAUUUUAUGAUUUUAUGAUAUCAUUUGCCUAGUGAACGAAGGGGCUCAAAUCAACGGCUGAAAAUAAAAAUCUUACAAAAUGUAAUAAUAUGAAUAUUAAAAUUAAAUCAAAGAUAUUGAUCUUGUUUUAUAUAGUAUAAAGAAUUUUCUACAAAAUUUUACGUGAUUUGGAUAUUCUACACCGUUAACUUGCAAAGGCCCACUACGGCCAUUGAAAUUAUAUUGAUUUUAAGCCCAUUCGAUCACUAGGCAAAUGAUAUCGUAAAAUUAUAAAUUUAUUUUUAGUAUUUCAAAUACUCUAGAUCAAGUUUAACGAAGCCGAUGACGAAUUCGAAAGUCGCAAUAUCGAAAACGAGCUGGAACACGGAAGGCUCCAUGCUUCCGAUAAAUAGUAGCCUCACUCUAUAUAUAUAUAUAUAUUAUAUAAUAUAAAAAUAUAUAUAUAUUUAUAAAAUAUAUUUAUUAUAUAAUAUUUAUAUCUAUUAAUUAUUUUAUAUAUUAAAUAUAUACAAUUAUAUAUUAUAUUAUAUAUUUAAUUAUUGCAUAGUAUAUUUUUAAUUAUUUUAUUUAUAAAUAUAAACUAUAAUACUAAUAUAUAUAAUAUAUAAUAAUUAUAUAUUAAUAAUAUAAAAUAGUAUAUAAUAAUUUUUAUUAUAAUUUUUUUUUUUUUAAUCAAACAAUCGUCGUGAAAAAUUAUUAUUAUUUUUUCUACAAAUCAAACAUAAAUAAAAUAAAAUAUUUUUUUCACCUAAUUAUUUUUUUUAUAAUUUUAUGUGAAACCAAACACAACACUAUAUAACGAUAAUUCAUAAUAAAAUUUAAAUUAUAGGGUCGCUCGACUUUGCUUAGUUGUGAAGUUUGAGUGUUGACUGUUGAGUGACAAAUGGGGACCACGUACGCGCGAGCAAUAAUUGUUCUCCUUGGAGAGCGGAAUGCGCUUUUCCCCCCCCAAAGCACGCACACGGAGAAAAUGAAAGGGCCGCUCCGUUCUCCUUAAUUGCCACUCGACUGGGGGUUCGAAAGGGCACGCAGGAUCGUAAAGAUCUAGAGAGAUGGCGACGGCAUUGUCGUGCAGGGACGGAGGUAUCUACUUCAGGCUAGAUGGGAAGGGAUCGAAUGACGACGGGAAUCAGUGGGACGACGGCGCCGGGGGUGAGGUGAGGGAGAUUUGCAUAUGCCACGGACCGAUCGUCUACUCCAUUCAAACCACCUACGAGCGCCAAGGCACCCUUCUCUGCUCUCGCCGUCACGGCGGCACCGACGGCAACUUCGACUUCGUAAGCAAGCAACUUAGAUCUCUUCUCUUUUUGUUUUUUUCAAUCUUUUCUUUUCUUUUCUCCUUUUCUCCUCUUCUCUUUGCGCCUGCGCGUCCGCGUCCGCGUCCGCGUCCGCGUCUAUUAUCUUUUCUAUUAUCUUACUAAUCUUUUGAGUAAUAUAUUAGUGUCGGAACCACCACUAUGAAUUUUCUGCCUAGUCGUGGAAUUUAUCUCUUCCCACUUUUAAACAGUUAGCUAAUGGGUUAGAAAUAUGCUCUAUCGAAUAACCAAAAGGCAUUAGAGGAAAAAUAAAAAUAAAGUAGAGGAGGAGGAGUAGUAAGAGUAAAUUUCUAUGUUGUUCUUAAUAAUUAUGCGUUCAGAUUAACGACAUGAUGAAGCUCUUAAAAAAACAAGUUUUUAUGAGUUUUGAAAAUCAGUUUUUACUUGAUCAACCGGCGGAUCUAGAGUCUAGACAUUUUGAUCCAGGGGCGAAAGACGCAGAAGGAUCCGACCGUCGAAUUUGCUAGAUAACGGUAAAUUUUUAAUUUCUAUUAAUUCGAAUGGCGAUAUAUGGUAACUAUUGUACCCUGAGUUUCAGAACUUCAUUUACAGGGUACGAAUGUUGAAUGUUUUUUUUUCAGAUUUCCUUGAGUAGUCCUCUCACCUGGGUGAGUGGGCAUUAUAGCUCAUGGUGCUGGGAUCCCGAUUUGUUAUUCCCUGAUGAGGAGGAGGAACCCUAUAACUUCUGCAAGGUUAUAAGGUCGCUUAAGUUUGGCACCGCCGACGGAGCUACCUACGGUCCGUACGGCAGGGAGAUCGGCGAGCCCUUCGACUUCCGAUGCAGCACUGGCAUCGCCGGCUUCCAUGGCCGCGACGAUUCUUUCCACCUCAAUGCCAUCGGCGUGUACGUGAAGAGCGCGGCGAAGGGCGUCAUUGACGACGCUACGCUCAUCAGCAGGGGAGCUUCUGCGGAUGUGAAUAGCAGCGGCACUUUGCCGUUGAGCAGCAGCAGCAGUAAGCUGCUGGACGAACCGAAAGCGUAAGCCAGCAGGAAAGUUAGCGUUUAGAAAUCCAUCCAGGGGCAUAUACAUACCUAUACGGAAAUUUAGUAAUGCAGUCUUAACGUAUGUAUAUAUAUAUAUAUAUAUAUAUAUAUAUAUAUAUAUAUAUAUAGUCCAUCUCUUCUCCUUUGUGUUUGAUAAUGUACUGGUAUUAUUAAACUGUAGUAAUGGAGUCAUGCAACUGGAGUUUCUGUUGAGCGCCUAUAUAACUCUACAUAUAUCGUGAUCAAAAUGUCUAUAUUCCGCUGUUGAUUCAGUAAAAAAUUAUUUUUAGAAGAAAAAAAACUCAUAAAACAGCCCUAGGUAGUACAGUAUCUCAAAAAAGAAAAAAACAAAGAAGAAUAAAAAGAGGCAACUGAUGGUUGAUCUGUUCGCAGUUGUAUAAUACAUCUUGCAUACUUUCUCUACGUCUGAAAAGUAUCUUUUUCAAUACAUGCUAAUAAAAGCUAGAAUAUGAAACUUUAUAAACCAUUCAACUGAAUAUUUUACUCUAUGUAGUUUCCUCCACGUUUUUACCCUAAACAAAAUGAUUCCAUAGCAUAAGGAUUUUUUUUUUACAAUCUCUGUUCCUUGGAGCCAAUGGCCAAUAAUACUCUUUUUAUAUUUUUAGUCCGUAGAGUAUAUAGUACAAUUAAAUUCUUCAAUCAUUUGAAAGCUAAGAAUUUUUUGUUGUGAUCCCUUGACUAUAUUUAUAUUUACAAGUUAGGCAUGUAAUAUAUAUAAACAUAAUCUCGAGUCUACUCGAACCGAGGCUUAUCAAGAAAAUUAUGCUCAAGCUUAAUUUGAAACUAAUUUUGAGCUAAAAUUUAUGGUGAAAUGCACAUUUGGCCUUUAAACUAUGCGGCACAUGAUAUUUUGAUAGUCAAUUUUUAGUUUGUUAUAAUUUAUGGCUCAAAAUUUUAAAUUUUUAUAACUAAUUUUAUCGAUGAAAUAUUGACGUAUCUGUGAAAAGAAAAUAACAUUUUAAUUAUUAUUGCAUUAUCAAUAAUACUGUCAACUAAAUUAAAUUUUAUAACUUAAUUACAAAAAAUAUAAAAAUUUAAACUAAGAAAAUAAUAAACUAAAUUUUGAUUAUUAAAAUACCACAUAUUUUAUAAUUUGAGGACCACAUUAUCACGGCCUUAUCGUUUUUGCUCACAAAGUUCGUGCAACGUCCGCCUUAUUUUUUAAUAAUGAGCAAGUUUAACUCCCUAUUAUUAGUCUAGAUCUCUGCAUCCUAUGAGUAAAUAUGCAAAAAAAGAUAGAAGAGAGAGAAGCAAAGGUUGCAAAAAAAAAAAAAAAAUUAAGAACGCAACUAUUUAGAAAAACAUAAUUACAAUACACAACGUCUCUUACACAACUCUUCUUGUUAAGUUUGGCCAUAAUCAUCCUCACAAUUUAUAGGCUUAAAAUAUAUUGAAUUUAGUCUAUGCUAAAUCACCAUUAAGUACACAUUAACUCACUCACUAUUAUAUAGUAAUGAGCCCUCAUGAAUGCCUAAUAAAUGCAAGGUGAUCCCGAGGGUUGCUAAUGAUCCUUCAAUUUUUGCCGGCGGUUUUGGAGCUAUUAAAUCCCGCAGCUAUAUAACCUUUCAUCUUCCAUAAAAAGUCUACUAGUUUAGUAUCUCUUUGGCUGCCCACUUAGCAAAAUUCGGCCAAAAAGUUGGCGGGACUAAAAAAUUAUCACAUCCGUGACAACAUGGUUAAUUUAUAGUAAAAUUUAUAUUCAAGUGUGUUUUUAUUUAGGGUCAAUUAUAAUUUACUAUAUUUGCGGGUACUUAUAAUUUACUAUAUUUCUAAUUUACUAUAUUCAAGUAUGUUUUUAUUUAAUUUGGAGCCAGGUUUAACCGAGCUCGUAGCAGAGCUUAACACGAGCUGAGACCGAAAUCCAAAGUUGAACUUUAAAUAAAUAUAUUUAUAAUUUACUAUAUUUGCGGCACCGGUAUUUAAUUAACCCUUUUAUUUAAUUUGGUGCCAGGUUUAAUCGAGCUUAGAACCGAGCUUAACACGAGCUGAGGCCGAAACCCUUGGUUGAAUUGCCACCCUUAUCUCCAUCGCAUACUCUCAAUUGUGUAAGAAGAGAGCGCAGGUGAGGUGUGAGACGAGCUACUGCUGCUGCUUCUCUUCUUCCGUGGUCAAAAUGGCGGGUCUCGUGGGAUCGCCAUGGCUCCGAAUUAGGGUUUCUCCCGAUUUCGCACCUCUUCUUCUCCGAUCGCCACUCGCUUCGAAGCCCUACCUCGCCCAUCGGCGGCGGAGCCUCGCAGUCUCGGCCUCUUCCGCCGCCGCCGCGGCGGCGCAGGGCGAGGUCCGCGUCCGCUUCGCCCCGUCGCCCACGGGGAACCUCCACGUCGGCGGUGCUAGGACGGCGCUCUUCAACUACCUCUUCGCUAGGUUCGUCUUUGGCUCUUCACUCUACGUGGAUUCACUACUCCCUACGAACGAAUCGUCCUGUGUAAUAAUUUUUAUAUUCCAAAGAUAGGAGGGGGCAUCAGCAUGUGCCUUUUUUUUUUUUGGUGUAUAUUACAAGUGAAAAGCAAAGGUUGAUUGCUAAAAUUGGAGAUGGCAAGAUGAUUUCCUGUAUGUAACUAGCUUGCAUCUAGUAUAGCUGUCUCUCUUCAAAUUCCUUUAUCUGUUUAGCUUUGUAGUCCACAUUCCUCUUGCAAAUUGCAAUUUUUUCUUGCCUCAUGGAAAGGACCUGUUUUUCAUUUCUAAUUUCGGUCAAAUUAGCUUUCUUUUUUUUUUCGUGUGCGUACUGUGUAGAUUUUUACUACAUGAAAAUAUUUACUUAUAGGUCCAAGGGCGGAAGAUUUAUACUUCGAAUUGAAGACACCGAUCUGGAGAGGUCAACUAAGAAGUCGGAGGAAGCAAUGUUGAAUGAUCUCUCUUGGCUCGGUCUUGACUGGGAUGAAGGUGAUUUGUUGCCUCAUUGCCUAACCCUUUAAAGAUAAGAUUGAACUGUUGUUUCCUUUACAAUUAAAGGUGUUUUUUUGUUAUUAACUAGAAAUUGGAAAGCAAACUUGUGUUGUGUUACUUGCAUGCAUUCGAAGAUGAAAAGUAUCAUGUGAUGAAUUUUCAGGUCCAGGUGUUGGUGGAGAUUAUGGUCCUUAUCGGCAAUCAGAACGGAAUUCCCUUUACAAACAAUAUGCUGCUAAGCUGUUGGAUUCUGGUGCUGUUUACCGUUGUUUUUGCUCUAAUGAGGUAAUUUGGUAUGUGAUUCCGAAGUUGACAUUUUUGCUCGGUAUAGCAUCAUAGAAAUUAGCUGGACACACAAAACUCCGUAUGGUAAAUUGAUUGGGUAAAUGCAACCAUUAUGCAAUAUAAACUUGUCCUUUAAGUGGCCUACGAAGAUUGUAGAUUAUAAUUUUUAUACAAUUCUCUGUGCAUUGCUUGAUGAAUAAAUUUCAUUCGUAUGGAGUUGCUUCUUUUGUUAUUUUUUUUUUUCCUUAAAGAUGGAUGUACCUAAAUCAUUUGUAGAAGCAUCUAAUUAAUUAAAACAUUUAAGUCUUUUUGGAUUAAAGGGCCUUCCACAUGCUCUAUGAAAUACCAAAGAUUGUUAGUGAGCCCAAAGGCGAAAUUUUGUCUUUCUUCAAGGUUUUAUAGUUUUGACUUAUUAGUUAUAAACUAUUAUUUUUCUCCAGGAACUUGAACAAAUGAAGGAAACUGCAAAGCGGCUGCAGCUGCCUCCAGUAUAUACAGGAAAGUGGGCAACUGCUUCAGAAAAAGAAACAGAGGAGGAGUUGGUGAAAGGAACACCAUAUACUUACCGCUUUCGCGUGCCCAAAGAAGGGACGCUGAAAAUCAGUGACCUUAUUCGGGGAGAAGUAAUAUCCUUUAUUACUUAUUCAACUUAAAAGCUUAUGGCUCAUAUUUAUAGUUGUAUUCAUAUAAAUUUACUUAUUGGUCUGAUAGUUCUGUGAAGGUCAGUUGGAGCUUAGACACACUCGGUGAUUUUGUCAUUAUGAGAAGCAAUGGUCAACCUGUAUACAAUUUCUGUGUCACUGUUGAUGAUGCUACAAUGCGUAUAUCCCAUGUUAUUAGGUAGUAUACUCACAUAACUGAAGUAUCUGCUUGGUCAAACUAUUUUGGGUUUUCGCGUAGAAUAUCUGAUGUGGGUCUUCAUUAUAUCCCUUUCUUGUACAGAGCAGAGGAGCAUUUGCCAAACACUUUGCGACAAGCACUUAUUUACAAUGUCAGUUCUUUUUUUUUCUUUUUAUUUGUCUCUUUUGUUUCUCCCUUUGUAAAUAUUUAUGCUGGCUUUCUUGUAAAGAUGGGUAAAUUGGCAUCAUCGUUAAUAUUUUCCUGUAGGCACUUGGAUUUCCAAUGCCUUCUUUUGCGCACGUUUCCCUAAUUCUUGCACCAGAUAGAAGUAAACUGUCGAAACGCCAUGGUGCAACUUCAGUAGGGCAGGUAGUUAAUGAUGAUAUUCUCUGGAAACACUUACAAAAUCCUAUAUCUAAUUACAGAAAAAACCGUAAAAUCCUGUAUCUGAUACUUGUACGCAUGCAUUCCUUUUUCUCUGGCAGUUCAGAGAGAUGGGAUACCUGCCUCAAGCAAUGGUAAACUAUUUAGCUCUUUUGGGUUGGGGGGACGGUACAGAAAAUGAAUUCUUCACCAUUGAUCAGCUUGGUUAGUUUUCCUAUUGCUGUAAAAGCUAGAAUAUGAGGUUUUCUUUUCAUUGUAUAUCAAUAUUUACUGAGAGCUGUGCUCUUUCUAUUUACAGUUGAAAAAUUCUCGAUAGAACGCGUCAAUAAAAGUGGGGCAAUCUUUGAUUCAACAAAGCUAAGGUGAAUGCUUGGGAAAAAGAAUGGGAAUAGACUGGUUUGAACUUUCUAUGCAUUGAUCUUUAAGUUAUGAAGUAUUUAUUUGCUGGUUCUGUGACAUAUUACUUUUUUAUGAUUAGAUGGAUGAACGGGCAACAUUUAAGAUCCCUUGCUUUAGAUGAAUUGAUCAAGAUUUUCGGAGAUCAGUGGAAGCGCACUGGCAUUCUCCUCGAAGCGGAAGGCAGUUUUGUCAAGGUUUUUCACAUAUACAUAGCAGGCUUGGAAUUUUUCUUAUUUGUUUUGACUCUUCAUAGUGCGUCCAUUAUUUAAUUUAUUACUUGACGCUUGUUAAGUUAUGUUUAUCUCUUACCUCCUCCUUGUACUUGCACAAUAUUUAUUUAUUUGCAUAGCACAGAUUUGCAUGUAACAGUGCAAGUCAUUUAACUAUUAGUAGAGGAAUUAUCAUGUCCUAUAACCUAGGUAAUGAUAAGUGAGAUUUUAGAUGUCCCGGGCUUACAUUUUGAGCACACGUUGAUCAAAGAGAGAAAUAGUGGAAACAACCUCACCUCAAAUGUUCAAUUUUACUAUAGUAUGCAGAUCCCAUAUUUUGAGGUGGACUAAGACAGUAGGCUAAAUGUAUGCCUUGUAGAAAAAAGAAUUGCACUGAUGGUAGUAACAAACACAAAUAUAUAUACCCCACAAACAUAUAAUUUUCUAUCUCUUGGUUAGCCACAACGAAAUGGUGCUAUGCCACUGCAAGAUCAUACAUUUAAUGACUCCCAUAUUAUAUGUACGCGUAACUAGUAUUUCCUCAACUUACUGCAGACUUUUCCAAUAAAAUUUAAUCUGAAAUUGAAAAUCCUAGGACGGAAUUCUAACUCUUGCAACACAAUAAGUGCAGGAUGCAACCGAACUGUUGAAGGACGGAAUCGACCUGAUAACAGAUGCUGACACAGCCUUAUCUAAUUUGCUAUCUUAUCCAGUCCUCUCUACUUUAAGCAGGUGUGUAGAACUUUGAUGCAUAUAGAAUGUAGUUCUCUUAUUUUUCUGAGCAUAUACUUUAUAUACAGCUUGAAAUGUUGCCUUUGUUUCAUCUCGACGCAAGCUUGUUUUUACUUGAUUCACAAACACACCAGUUUUGGUUAAAAUGAGACUGGCCUCAUAGCUAUACCGUCUCAAAUGAUCGAUUUUUUAUUUUGCUGAGGUUUUCUUUAGGUAAAUUAAGUUUGAUUUAGUACUCAGGUUUGAUAAAUUGUACAAUCUUCAGUGAAGAAGGCAAACCCAUUGUACAAGAUAAGCUUUCCGAGGUAGCGGCAAGUUUGAUUUCUGCUUACGAUAGUGGGGAGCUUCGUGAAGCACUGGAGGAAGGGCAUGUUGGUUGGAAAAAAUGGGUGAAGAGCUUUGGCAAGUUACUCAAUCGGAAGGUAAUUUUUAGAAGCAUGGCAAAAUACUCUCUUCUAGUUUGUUAAAGAAAUAGUUUUAAAUUGUUACUAAGUUUAGUAUAUUCUGUUUUUACAAUAAAUAAAUUGCGGUUCCUUCCUCCUCUUUUCCUCCUCUUUUCCAUUAUGUAAAUGUAAUUGGAGGAAUGAUUUUAGGCUACAUAAAUCUUUCUCGUGCAUACUCUGACAUAGCUGUCUGGCUAAUCUUUAGCUUUAUGUAUACAUACAUGCACCUAGAUGCCCACAUGCAUGCGUGUGCAUAGUAAUAAUAAUAUGAAUACUUAUUUGUAAUCCUGAUGCAUCCUAUGCUUAAAAGACAACCAAAUAAGAAAACUAUAGUCACAGUUAUGAUUAACUUGGAUUUUUAAUGCUAAACACCUAACUUUCUAACCUUUUUUUUCUUGGUUACUUAUCAGGGAAAAUCUCUAUUUAUGCCUCUUCGAGUAUUACUGACGGGGAAGCUUCAUGGCCCAGAUAUUGGGGGCAGUAUUGUUCUGAUAUAUAAAGCCGGUCUCUGCGGAGCAGUUAAUCCACAAUCAGGUUUUGUGCCUUUGGAUGAGAGACUCCGAAUUUUGAAGGAGAUUGACUGGGACGCACUGAACAAGGAACCGGACCCACAACGCAAAUCCGUUGCAACUGUCACUCAUUAAAUAUUUUUUGAUCUUUUUGGAUUUUAUGUUUUUCAAUUGUUAAGGGUUUUUCCUUUUUUGUAUUGUUUUUAGUCAUGCAAAUAAAAUUCGGAGAGAACUGUCGUUGUUUAUGAUGUCCAGCUUUGUUUGGUUCCGAUACCUUUGCUCUGCUCGUCUAACGAAUGUAGCAAUCUGAGUUGUGCAUCAUUUGUACCCAUUUUGAUCCUUUUUUGUUUGUGGUGCUCUCUCUCUUUCUCAUGCGCGCACAACUCGUGAACUCUUUUUUAAUGGUGAACUAGUUAAGUAUCCGCGCGUUGCGGCGGAACGAUUUCAUAGAAAAAAAUAAUUAAAUAAAUAAAUUUAAAAAUAACAAAACAAAGAGUUAAAAAAUUAUAUAAUAUAAACAACCGAAAAAUAAACAACUAAUUAAAAUUUGAGAAUAAAAAUAUCACAUACCUCAUUAUUUAAAUCAUAAUACAUUAAAAUGUGGGGAUUAAAGUGUUAUUCGUCCUAUAUUUUUAUUUUAAGGAUGAAAGUGUAAAUCCAAUCUUUCAAUUUUUUUUAUCCAACUCUUUAUAUGUUAGAUUUAAGCAAGUCAACGAUAUUUUGACAAUUCUCGCAAUUAAAUUUUAUAAAAUAUAAAAUUAAUUUAAACUCUAUCAAUNCCCCGCGUGCCCGCGCCACGCGGCGCUCCGCCACGCGCGCCCGCCUGCCCGCGCCCCGCGCUCGCCCCUGCCCGCGCCUCCAUGCUCGCCACCUGUUUCGAAACUGUGAAUUCAUGUAUGUUAUGUUAUAGAUUAGCAAAUCUCUCUUAUAUUUUCCCCAUAGGAGUAAUAUUUGGACCAUCGAAGUGGCGAAGAAUUAAUGGACGGUACUUAAGGUCCUAAAAGUGGAAGUCUAGUAGUUUCAUACUUUCAUGUUGCUAGCCAAGUUUACUUUUUUUAAAACAAAUAAACAAAGCACAUAACUCUUUAAAAAAACAGAGUGUCUCGGUGAUACAAUCUUCUACGCUCAAUAAUUCAUCUGCUAAACCGUGAAGUUUCCGGCCAUAGAGACAUCACAUCCUUUUUCUUUUCUUUUUUUUCAAAAUUGAUUUACUUCCAAAAAUUGCCGAUAGAAGUGAACAUUCAGUGCUUAUACAGAUAUUCUUUUAAAGGCAGUAUUCGUACAGAGUGCAGCUCAAAUAUGCAGUAGUCUCCAAAGAAUAAAGUUACUCCGUUGGGUUUUGUUUCUUCUGGCCUUUUUACACAAGAUUGAUAGUGUGCCCCCCAUGCCGUCGCUGAUCGACAUGCAAAUCUACAACAAAGAGUUGCCGGUACAAAUGGGCAUUAUGCAGACCCCCAACUUGAAUCCUCAAUAACUAUGAUGACACCGACCACAUGAAAAAUGUUGACCAUAUCGUGAGUGAAACUGAAGCCAGAGAAUAUGCCCAAAGAAGGAUAACUGAGCAUUCGCUCUCCCCAGCCCCGAACAAUUGUGUUAUGGUGCCUGCCAAUUUACAAUUUCAUCAAUAAGAGAGUUGAUAUUUCUCAACUUAGGUACGACUACGAAGCGAAAAACAAAAAGACCAAGGUCCAAGUAGUAAGAUUAAUGCGGAAUUUUGGCAAAUGUUUGUUGAAGCCAUAUCAUUGUCUCUUUUUUUUUUUCCUUUUUUUCUUUCUGUUACCUAUAUUCAUUGCGGGUGGAACAGCAUAUUGGAGCAGAAGAAUGAACUGGUAUAAAGGAUCUGCAUGCACCAGACCAAGUCGAACCGCCCCUUUAACGAUGACUAUGCCCACUAGGGGCAACAAAAUAUAACGAACAACUAUAAUUCCGAUGAUGAUCGAGGGAUUCACUCUUGAUCCUCGCAAACCUGGAAUAUGCCGGCAUGCAUAAAAUUUAAACAGUCACAUGCUUGCUCUUGAGCAACAUGAAUAAGUGCUCAUUUAGAUUUACGAGAAGAGAUAGAAUUGCUACCAUUUAUGAGGUUCCCUCCCAUUAUUAGAGUGACAGUCGGAAUUGCCCCAUCACUAAAAAGGAGAAUAAAGAGAAGUUGUUAAUCCCACAAUGCCAAAAGAAUGAAAGUAAAUACGAAAAAGAACCUAAAUGGAGUGACUACGAGUAGAGAAACAAUAUCUUUAAGGCAAUAAAAAACAAAACUAAAAACACCAGUAUUUUCUACUUUCAAGAGUACAUUUCGUGGGUCCUUUUUUUUUAAACAUGAAAGCUACUAAAUAGCACACGGUGAUUCAAUCAAAGUAAAGGCAUUACCCCAAUACAGCCGCUGAUUCCUGGAUAACACGAAGAGGAGCACUUUCUCCGAUCAUUGCUUUUCUAAGUUGAGGUAUUACUCCUAUAAUGAACCCAACAAUCUACACAGUGAAGAAAGAAAUUUAAUCAUAAACUUUUCACAGAUUACAUAUAAUGGAUCUCAUAAAACUCAUCCAAAGGUUUCUAAGCUUUGUAUUGAGAUGAAUCAUGUACUGAGAAAGAACUACAUCAUGAGUAUCAACAGGUUUAAAAAACGAAACUCGUCGGCUAUAUUUAAAUGUUAAUUACAUCAAUAACACUAGCAUGCAUGUCUGUGGUGGCACUAAAAAAAAAGAAUAGCUUACCACGCCAAUAGUCGAAGGUGCAAACAAUUUCUUCAUGUCAAUUACUUCAGAAACUCUUAACACAAAUUUUCUUGCUUUUACUGAAAUAGGAACCUGCAACAAACAUCAGAUGUAAUCAAAUUCGGAGAAGAAAACAACCUCUGUAAAACUACUGUAAUGGCACAGAUAAAAAGGCUAUAUAUAAUCUCAAGCAAAUGCUCUAACUGAUAUAACUUAAAGAACUAUAACUGAUUUUAUGGUGUUCUACCAUUCAAUUUGGCAAUUAAAGUAAAAUAUAAACCUGAUGGGAUAAUGACAGGAAAAGGGGAAAAUAUAGUGCAACAUAAAGUAACCUUUGCUCUAGUGGAAGAUUCACUGCCAUCAUAGAUAGGGAGGGUACAAUCGUCAGCAUAUUCACCAGUCACCAAGCAUUUAUUGGUUGGAAUUGUUUCAGCUGUACAGGUGCUUGAGAUCAACUUAUCGGUUUCUUCAGGAUACUGUACUGUUUGAGUGUGGCCAUUGGUAUUUAUCAUCCCUCCGGCGGUAUUUGACGAUAAGCGCAUUAUGUUAUAAACAACCGACCACAAAAAGAUUGCACCAAUCUGCAGUAAUAUGAUAGGAAACAAAACUGGUUAAUAAUUAGAUUCUAUCCUCUUCCCUACGUAAAUGGGAUUUGCAAGGAAUCCAUCACAAGGCAAAGUGUAAUAAUAUACUGUCCACGUGUAUGAAAUACUUGGUAAAACUUUGCCAACUAAUGGAAGAUAUUCGGACACAAAAGACUCACAGCCAUAGAUAAAGAAGUAUAUGCUAGUCCAUAAGUAUGACAAGCAGCAGGUUCUCCAAACGGGCUGCCUUUUUCUUUACAAAUAGCAGGGAUGAUGAUAAGAAGCAUAUUGCCUAAAUUACCUGUUGAGGAAAGUUUAUAACUUAUCACACUUUAAUCUAUUAAUAAUCAUGAAAAUUGACGAAUAAAUUGCUCACAAGAUUAAAGGUCCCUUAUGAAGAUAUGGCAACAUUAUCAAGAUAAGUGGAUUGUAGCUUUGUGAUUUACCUGCUGCACAACAGCCCAAAAUUAGGGCUCUCAAUCGUGUAGGAGGUCUGGUUAUCUGUAUCACAACCCAUCCAAAUAGUAAACCGAAAAUGAAGGUCAGAAGGAUAUUUAUUGGCAUAAACCACCUGCAAUUUGGAAAGUUGGAACAGAAGUUACUAUCUUUUUUCAUGUUUCUCUCAAUAUCUAAAGUAGAAAUUAUUGUGUAGAGAAUCACGGUGUCUAACAGUCAAAAACAUAAUUACAAGUAUUUCCAUUUAACAGACAAUAUUUUUUAAAAAAUAAAUAAAUAAAUUAUGUAUCCUCAUCUACAAAUUUCCGGACCAAUGUCUAUGUGUUGAGGGGGGAAAAAGGCAUUUAACGACAGGACACAGCCAUACAAAUCAUAAGUCGAUAAGUAAUCCAAAAAAUGAACUAUAUGUAGAUAAAUACAAAGCAUAUUUACUGUAAGUUGCAGGCACAUAUAUAAGCAGCAUCAAUCACACACACCAGAUGAAAAUUAACCUUAUAAAUUUGGAAAAGUCUAGUUUGAAACUCACAACAAAAUCAUGCUGUCCAUGGUGAUUGUUUGAGAUAAGUUCGUUGCUACAAGUGCCGGAUUGAAUACAUAGAACACAAUCUGUAAGGGAACAAGUGGAGUAUAUCAGACUGGAAGAAUAUGAUGCCAACUAAACCAAUGGGAAAUGAAACACAUUUAUGCGAAAUUCUCCAAUACAAUGAAAAAAUAAAAAAAGGAGAUGAAAAUAAAAACUUGUGUGUUUCAACAGGUGGCGCUGAAGGAUUUCAGAUUAAAAUGAAUGGAUCACCGCAACUAGGGGCGAAAUGGUAUUAGUUACACAAUCGAGGCCAAUUUGUUCUUAGAAAACAGUUUGCAUUAGACACAAUGCAAUUUCAGUUGCUGUCGAAUCUAUUAAAAUAUUGGACGCUCACAUUAUUCAGAUGCUUCCUUGCAUCUUUGACAAGAAUACCAAUAUAACCUGUUGCAAGGAAUGAUCCGACACCAGUCACCAAAAGAACAUUCAGAACCGGCAUUGUCGCAGUGACGAAGAGGUCUAAGAGGCCCAUUUUCUGUAUUUUUAUUACGAAGCCCUCCCGCCCUUACAGUGCAAUCGAUUCUGAUAUAUCAGUCCUUCAAUGCACAGUACUGCAGAUAAACAAAACAACAGUAAGUUUAUCACAACAUGCAACAUAGUGCAGACGAUACAAAAAUGAAAAGAUUACAUAAUGAAUUGCCCGUGAUAGAACUGAUUCCUAAAUGAAUCAGCUUUAUCUUUCGCUAUCACCAUCAGAUACCUACCUAUAGAUCAACUUAUGUUUCUUAGUAAAUGUAUAAGGAAAUAGAAACAUGACAUUAAAAAAAUAAUAAAAAAUAAAACUAUGAUUCGAGGAGUAAUUAACACAAGAAUGUUAACUCGAGCACAAGAGUAUAAAAAGUUCCAGCGAAGGUGAGAUUGUACUGAACUGCAGGAGAAAUAGGAAAUUAUCUACAAUUCACAAAAAACAAAUGGGCUUUUCUCCACAUGCAAAGCACAAAGAUUGUGCUCGGGCCACUGAUUGAGACUGUUGACCUAGAAAAACAGAGCGCAAGGUGAACUGUAUGCGGCCCACCUACCAUUCCAACCUCAAUAAAAUAAAGAAGCAUCUCGUGCACAAAAAGGAAGCAUCUUUUUUUAUGUACAAAAAUAACAAUACAAUUGGGAUUUGUUCUCAUAAAAAGCCACCAAUUUUACGUACCUGCGCAUUGACCCACCAAACUUAAGUAUACUUCUUCCUAAAGAAAUAUAAUAACUUUUUUCCUCUUAACAAUUUGCCACACAAAGUUAAAGAGGUUGAUUUCGUGUAAAACAGUUCACUAGAUCCCUGAAAUGAAAAAAUGGAUUUGGUGCAAAAACUCACCCAAAAAAAAUUACAUAUCUAGUGUACUCUUCUUCGCCGAAUCAAAAUAUAUGAUCCGAAUAAUAAUGAAAAGAAAGUGAGUGGGUUUUUUUUUUUAUUUUUCUUUGUUUCUUGUAUGAGUCAGAUGAAAGUUAAACUAUCAAACUACAUUUAGGGGAUUAUAAAAAAAAAGAAAAGAAAAAAAGAAGCAACAACAACACCGAAAUGGGCUUUAGAAUGCGAUAUCUAAUCCAACCAAAAAAAUUAUACAAUUAAAAAAUGCACGGUUAUGGAGAAGAAAAAGAAGAUGAGCAAAUACCACUUUUCCCUUACAAUACCACCACCGGAGAGAAAGGAGAGAGUUUUUUUCUUUCUUUUUUUUUGGUUUUGUAGUGUGGGGUGGUUCUCUCCUCAACAGCGUGUAUGUUUAUAUCACCGCUCUUGCGCUGGAAACAUUUUCGAGUCUCUACGGGGUUGCUGUUGUUGUUAUCGUUGUUAUUAUUAUUAUUUUUAUUUUUAUUAUUGGUUCCGUAAUUUAAGGUUUAAAAUAUUUUAAAAUACUUUAGUAUCUUUUUAGAAAUAGCUUGGACGAGACGCGAGUUAUUUUUAAAUAAAUGUACUAAUAAUAUUACUCCUUUUUGUCAAAAAUACAAAACUUUGAUGAUUUAAGCGAGUUCAAUAAUUUUAAUAACUUUUCAGCAAAUAAAAUAUAUCAACUAAUACCUACUUAAUUAAUAAAUAGUAAAUUAAAUUAAAUAAAUUUUUUAAAAAAAUUAAAAUA
rnacentral:lncRNA from 1 species